CCUUUUUUUUCCUUUCCAUUUUGUCUUAUAGCAUCAGCUAGGGCUUCCUAUGUGAUGCUGAAUAGGAAUGGUGACAGGAGGGAACAUGCUUGCCUUGUUCCUGGUCUUAGAGGGAAAGCAUCUAGCUACUCACUUUUGAUUGUUAGUUGUAGGUUUGUGUAGAUGUCCUUCACCUAUUUGGAGAAAUUCCCCCUCUACUCCUAGCUUGCUGAGCAUUUUUUAUUGUGAUUGAGUGUUGGAUUUUGUUAAAUGCUAUUUCUUCUGUGUCAAUUAAUAUGAUCACAUGAUUUACCUCCUUUAGUCCAAUGAUAUGGUAGAUUACAUUGAUUUUUCAGAUGUUGAAACAGCCUUGCAUACAUGAAAUAAUAUCAUUUAGUUGCAGUGUGUUAUUAUUUUUAUACAUUGUUAAUUUCACUUGUUAAUAUUUUAGUGAGUUUUUACUUUGUGUCUAUAUUCAAGAAAGAUACAAGCCUGUGAUUUUUUUUCUUGUAUCUAAUUUUAGCAUUAAAAUAAUUCUGGGCUCAUUGAAUGAGUUAGGUAGUGUUCUACUUAAAAAAAAAUGUGGGGAAAUGAUAUUACUUCUUCCUUUAAUGUUUGGUAGAAAUCGCUUGUGAAACUGUUUGUAUCUGGUGAUGUCUUUGGAGAAAAGUUAUUAGUUAUUAAUUCAACUUAUUUAUAGAUAUAGGACUAGUCAUGUUAUCUAUUUCUCCUUGUGUGUAUUUAGAUUGUUCUUAAUCCUUCUGAAACUAUAAAAUAUGAAAAGUCUCAAAAACAGAUUGUAAAUCUAGAAAAUGGAAUGAAACAGGAACGGUUUAAAAAAAAACUUACAAAGUAAAGUCUGUUUUAAAAUUUUAAUCAAAUCAACAAGAAUAGAUCAUUCCAUUACUUAAUUUUUUUUUUCUGUUUAUAUAUUUGCUGUGUGUCCAUGUGUAUCAUCAUUUGUUACUCCAGGUUUUAACUUACUUUUGUAUUUUGAUAAUUGUAUGUUGUGUCAGGUCUUAUUUUAAAACUUUGCAUGUGAUUUUCUUGAUCAUUUAGAAUCAUUUUAUUUAUGAGAACUUGAAUCAUUCCAUCCCCUGAUCACAUUCAAUUUACAUUUAACAUUUAUUUUAGGGAUAUUCUCAGUAUUUUAGGGGUAUUCUCAUUAGGAACAUAUUCAAAAAACUUUUGUUUUCUUACUAUAUCUUGAUUAAAUCUGAAGCCACUAUAGUGUGGUUCCAAUUUACUUUGGUGUAAUAAUGGACUUUUGUGCACAACAGUGAUGUCUUAGAUUUUGUUUUUUAAUUGUUAAGUUUUAAAGAGAUAUGUGGUCUUUCUGGUCUCAGCUAGCUUGGGAAAUAAUGGAACUGCUUACCAAAAAUGCAAGAGAGACUAGCAAUUACAAUUUCACACAAAUAAUGAUGUCUCCAGGCACUUUAAGUCAAUGAUAUUAAGAAGCUGUAGGGUGACAAAAAUAUAUCAUAUUUUAUGAUAGAGUAACCUGUUUAUUAUUAAUACUUGAAUAUGUGAAAAUUAUCAAUGUUGUGCUAAUAUUCUAUCUAAUUUUACUAAAUCACUUGACAUUACCUAAUGCCUUGGCAUUCUGAAGUGCUCAACAAACAGUGCUAUUUUCCUCAGAAUUGACUGUUUGGCUUUCAGUUUGCUAACUAGACUAUUGGAAACAUGAGAUUGAGUGCUGUUAUUAUUUUGUUUUAAUCCCACACAACAGUUAGCCUAGUACCCCUGCACAGAGUGACAUUAAUUAGAAUUUUUGAGAGGAUAGAUGAAUGAACGCUAACAUCACAUGCCACCUGAUGCAUUGGUAACUUCAACUGUCUUUUCCUUACCUCUUCUGAUCAGGUGUAUUACUUCCCUAUGAGUAUCUUCAUUCUCCUUCUCACUCUAUAUGGAGAUCUCAUUGAUUCUUCAGGAAUCAAUGUUGGAAGUUGAUAACCUAAUCAACAAGAUGACUAAAUUAUCAUAUUCAUGGGUCUGCCCAACUUAUGGAGUAGUAUAUAAGGGUAUACCAGAGAUUGAGAAUCUCAGGGCUCUCUUAGAAUUCUGCCUGACACAGCAGCCCAAGUGUUCCUAUUCUAAUCCAUUUCCCAUCAUGAUCUUGCUACUCCCAGCUUUAUGUAGAUGGGGAGUCUGUUCUUGAUUAUCUGGGCAAAUAUGGUUUCCCCUGGGGAUGUUUUGAUUACCCCCUUGACUUAUUUUAUCUUUGAUUAUUUUCAGUCUCACUUUCUUUAACUUUAUCCAAACUUUCUUACAAGGCACCCACAUUUCUUUUUCUUCUUCCUUUAGAAUCUAUUAUCUUUGUAGAAUUUAUUUGAACUUUCCCCUUACAAAGACUAACCUUUGAUCAUUCCAACUCUUGAUAUGAAAUUUUUAUCUAGUACCAUGCCUCGGUUGUAAAUUAUCCAUGGAUCAGAACUAUCAUGCAAAAUAAAAAACCUGAGUAUAGAAACAAAUUGUAAUCAAGUAAUCUACAAUAAGAUAAUUUUUCACUCCUUUUAACUUAAACAUAUUAGUUUUCUCAGGCUGUGAUAAAAUAUACCACAGACUGGAUGACUUAAAAAGCUAACAUCUAUUUCUUAAGCUACUGCAAAGAAAUAAAUAAAAAAAUAAAAGUAGACGUUUAAUUAAAAAAAAAAAGCUACUGCAGAAGUACAUAUAGUUGUGUAAUUUGCAUGAUAGUUUCUUGGUAGAUUGUAACAGACCAUUCAGAGAAACAUGUUGAAUAUUUUUGUGGAUUGGAAGAGAGGCACACACAAAAACACACACAGAAAAACCAUUUUCCGACAUUUUAUCUGAUUCCAUGAGAAUUCUGAGCAACCAAUUUUACUCCGCUAUGAAGGAAGCCAGAUCCAAUGCAAACCUUUCAGGUUAAUGCAUGUAGUCCUUUCAGAAUGAGAUAGUAACUCAUUUGUCAUACAAUUCUAUCUUGACACGAAUUUUUAAUGAAUUGGGUCUUUCCGUUUACGUGCACCCAUCAAACCUAAUAGUUCACCCUCUCUAGAACCAUCCUCACUACUUUUCGUAAUUUCAAUCUCUAGUUUCUAAGAUAAGAAAACAAAUAUUAUUUUGUGGUCAGAAACAGCAACAAAGUAUACUUUCUAUUAAAGUAUGAGAAACAACUUUGCAAAACUCUCCCUGGUAGUACUUUUACAGUAUAUCAGAAACGUUUCUUUUUUGGUCAUCUUCUGACUGCACUGUGAACCGAAUUAGUUACAUUAAAAAAAUAAAAGUUUUACUGGCUAUUUGCCUGUAAAUGAAGAGACAUUCUUCUACCCUUGAGCAACAACAGAAAAGAUCCCUAAAUGAAAAAGAUGCUGUCCUCUCUCACCAUGGUUUUCUUUCCAUAAUUAGGAAUUUGGUCAGGAAUAAGAAUAACUUGAUUAUAGUCCAUGUUAUCACACUCCUGUCAACGUCUUGCUUUCUUCCACAUGUUGAAUGACUUCCUGACUUAUUUUCUGUGUAUAUGUAAUAUUUGGCUCCUAUCUUGUGUGCAAUAACUCUUGGUUAUCAGAUCUUUUCUUCCUGUUACAUCAGAUAAUUCUUAUGUUAUUAUUUAAACUGUGCUUCUCCUGACUAACUUCUCUUUAGUUUCCUUUUCACUUUAGGCACCCACUUUACCAAUGGGCGCAUUUUAAUCUUUUACAGUUCAUAAUUAAUUUUCACAUUCAGCCUAAUAGCGAAAUAAGGUUAGAAAUUUAGGAAAGAUAAAUGGGAUCACUUGGUACUUUUUCAUAUAAGGAGCACAAAUUACUUUUGUGCUCAGAUGCUGCUUCUGGAGGAGUCUGAAGUAGUAAGAACUAACUUUCAGAAUGAUUUGAGUCUCUGUACCCAUUCUACCAACUUUCCCUCUUGGUAGGGCUGAAGAAGUUUGGGUUGGGUUGAAUAGGUACCAUCUUUGUUCUUAGAAGUGCUUGGUUAGGGGUCUUGUUCUUGCCAUGCACAAGAGUUAUCUUAGUGUUAUUUGAAAACAUCUGAAGAAUUUAGGUUAGAAUUUCAAAGAAAAUAUGAAUCUUUGUAACCUUCAAAUCUGUUCUUCUGUGAAAGAAAAUGUCAGUCUUCUUUAAAUAGAUCGUGAAAUUAUUCCGAAUUACCAGAUGCAAAGGCUGAGCAACACACAGUACAGAUUUGCCACGAGGAAUAGGGUUAAAUUUUGCUCUCCAGUGACAAACCCCAGCCCAGAACAGAUUUUUAGCCACGCAGCUAGCAGAACUCGCUGGGUGAACUGCACAGGCCAUGGUGGGUGCCGAGCUCAGAGCCGGAAAGCAAACAGCUGCUGUAGCCUGAUUUCAGUUAAAAUAGUGUGAGUGUUUAGUCUGGCGCACGGCUUCAGGGGAGAUUGGCAGCUGGGUCAAACAAAGUCCUUCCAUUGGCUGUCUUCCCAGGCAGCUUCUGCUAGUAUUUAGGUACUAGUGCAGUGUAGGGCCCUUUCUCAGGCAAAACCUAACAUCUGACCGCACCCUCUCUUCUUUUUCCAGAAAAAAAAAAAAAAAGCAGAGAAAAAAGCUUCUUUUUCCUUCUUUCGUUAAGAUAAAUUCUCCAGUAGACAACCUCUCCCACUAAUUGUGUAUUAGCAGUGUAUUUUAUCUUGAGAGCUGACGCACUGGGCUCUCAACGUGGUGUGGAGGGCAGACUGUUCCAGGGUUGGAUUCAUAAAAGGGCCUUUAUGGUUUGUGAAAGAAUAUCUGUGUGCUUAGGCAGGAAACUUUUUGAUCUGCAGGAAAGCCAGAAGACAUCUAGGUAAGGCUGCGUAUCAAAUCUACUUUUGGGGGGAAAUCUUGGGCAGUGAGAAUGAAUCAUUACAAGCGACGUGAGCUUGGAGUGUGCCUGUUCACUUCUGUAGAAGUUUAAAAGGAUAUCCUUGAAGAUUAGUCACAGAGCCUCUUAUGUGCCUAUAAAGGCAUUUGAACUGGGCAAACAGGACGGCAGCAGCAGUGAGCGUGAGAUCAUUGCAGCAGUGCAGCAAACUGGCAUCCUGCCUUCUCACCCUUUUGGUUCAGGAGACAAACGUGUGCAGUCCUCAUUUCUAAAGUCAGCAGAGGCUGGAAGGAUUCCUGGUCUCUCCCACCUUCUACCAUUCUUCUGCCAGGGACGGCAAGGAUUGGUGCAGCUUCUGCGCAGCGCUUUGUGCCUGCAAUACCGAGAAGGAAGAAAAAGAAGACAGGCACCCUGGCCCUCUUUUUUUCCCAAGAAAUAACAGGAGGCAUGAAGAAAAAAUCUGAGUUUGUCCUACUCCAUGCAACAGUGCUGAAAAAAAAAAGAGAGAGAGAGAGAGAUGCUCCUGCUCAAAAACAAAAACAAACAAACAAAAAUCCAAACCAAAACAAACUAAAAAAAAAAAAGCAAACAUUGGCUUGUAUUUAACUACAGAGACAUCGCGCUUUGUAAAGCAGCUUUGUAAGGCAGCAUAAGCAAAUGAGCCUUCUGUAUUUGUAUUAUUGCAAAAAUAUGGCAUAAUAAGCAAUUUAUUGCACUUGGUGAAAUCGCACCUUUCGUAUCAGGGAAAAACUUAAAGUGGAUAUGAGAAGUGAAGAAAGUGAUCAUAGGAGAAAAUCAUCUCAGAUCAACCACUUGAGAAGAACCAGAUUCCACUUCUGUGGCCAGGACUUUUAUGUUAUGGCUGGUCUGAUUGUUUUACCCUGCGUUCUAUGCUUCUAAACCUUGGAUCAUUCCUAAAGUAUAAAUUCUGUUCUCGAACCACAAACAAGGCUAAAAGAUCGGAAGAAAUUCAGUGAAUAUACAGGAUUGGAAUUGUGUAUUUUCAAAAGUGUUGAGCUUUAUAAUGCAAUUAUUUAAAGAUAGAGUCUUUUAUUUUCUUAUGUUGCCAGCAUUUUAAGUUACAUGUUUAUUAAGUGGCACUGCUCAAAUAACUCAGAGUAUGCAUGGAAAUAUUGGCUGUCUGAAUAGUUUGGUGAUUCAAAGAGAAAUAGCAAGCUGCAGAGGUACUAAAUUAUGACAUGCAAAAAAAGUUUUUGUUUUAUUCUUAACUGCAACAAUGUGUGUAUAUAUACAUAUACACAUAUAUAUAUGUAUUAGAUUCAAAGUGUUAUAUAUCCUGGGCCCACCUUACAAGUUGUGGUGUAUAGGCGUAUAAUGGGAAGCAAAAUUUCAAUUAGGUCCCAUUAACCGGCAUAUAAUCCUUCUUUAAUGUAAUAGAAGCUAUGGUGUUGCUGUACAAAUUUGCUACAAACAGAUUUUUAACCCAUUUUUGGUCUCUUUCUUAGAUCUAAUGGAAUGACUCUUAACUGUUCAUUAUCUGCAUUGUUCCUUACAUUCUUCAUUAUUUUAAGGUCUGAAAUUAGUCUAUCAAUGGUUGUUGUGAAUAUUCAGCUCAUCCUAACUUAUAUAUACCAUACAUAUAUCUAUAUGUCUACAUAUGUAUUUUCAUUAGUAUUUAGAGGGAAAAGUUAACUGAACCCAACUGUAAUUUCUAAACUAGCCUUAUUACUGGAAGAAGAAUUCUACCGCAUCAAACUGGACUUUUCCUAGUCCCUGAGACCCUAACUUGUGAGGUAUUUUAGUAACAUCACAAGUCAGGCUCUUGGGACCUAGGCGGAGGGAACUAGCACCUUUGGACCUUACUGACUGUCUGCAGUUACCGUCAGAACAAAAGAACACACAUAGAUUCUGCCUAGGAGAAAAGAACAAUGCUCUUAUUUAUAAUCAGCAAUGUUAUCACCAUGACCCACCCCCAAAAAUGCUAUUUUCAGAAACUGUACUCUAAAGUGAUGACAGAGUUGCACAGAAAUAGCAUUUGUAUUAUAUCAUAAUGACCAUAUAAAAGCAAUAUAAGAUAUCUAUGUAAGAAGCAGAAUUAAAAUUCAGUGUUUUUGAAAUGCUUCUUUUGGUGUGUUUUCAGGUGGCUAGCCCAAGAGAGUAACUCCUUGGUUAAUAAUGAAGAGAGUGUUUUAUAUUUAUAUCUUUUUUCUUAUGCAUAAAGAUAUAUGCAUUAGCUACUUAAAUAAUUCCUACAUGUUUUCGUAACUGUGGCUGAAAAUAUGUCAUAUAUAGCUCUAGACAUGCUUGAGGCCUAGAAAUAAAAUGAUUUGCCGUCUUCUUUAUUUGACCCUGUUAGAUUUUAUACUGAUUUAAGAAGAAUGAUGUUUUAUACUUGGUAUUUGUUGCCAGAGUUUUCUUUAGUCUUUUUAACCAGACAAAAUGCUUGAAAUGUCUUAUAAUAAGACAUUGUCUUGUUAUAGGAGUAUGAAUUACCAUAAUUAGCAGGAAUAUGCUAUCUUUUAAUUUUUGUAUUUUACUUGGCAUAUAUCAUGGAUGUAUGUGAGAAAAUUUAGUAAACACCACCUAUGAAGUCAAAUUGUUCUAGUUAGUCUAUCAAUUGAAUCUGAACUGCAGACUUACACUUUUAUGAGAAUUUUAGUCUAAUAUGAGGUAGCUAUUCCAACUAUAACAUGUCACACUUGAACAUUAUUAGCUAUUGCCAUAUCAAAUGUGCAUUUUUGAAAACAGAAUCUUACAUUAAAUCUAUUUUUAAAUUUUAUAAUUAUGUUGCAGAUAUUAAGAUUCAAAAUGGAGGCGAGAGAUUUUUCCAUAAUAGAAGAAACAAGAUCAUUUCAUUCUUUAAACUCUGUUGCUUUACAGGGGUACUAUAAAUUGUAUAUAUCUUCUCACUUUUAAAAUAAAUCUCAGGAUGUGUUUUAGAAUACUGUAAUGAAGUCUUUGUCCACAUUGUUAUUGGAUUUGUUAGAAUUACAUAUUAUUUGAAAUAUCACAGAAUACAAAACACUCAUGAGUUAUAUUUCCUAAAAAAUUGUUGUUGAAAUAUCAUAAACAUACUCCCCAUCCAUACGGGCACAUAGAAUGUGUUUAAGCAUGUAUUUAAGCAUGUAUCCACCCUGUAUCUUUUCAGAUUUUUUAUUUAUAUCACCUACUUCAUUAGUCUAAUAUCUCAAAAUUUUAAGUAUGUGUAGGUAUAUCAACAUGUUUUAAAACUUCAAAGGAACAGAGAUAAUAUAAGCUAUAAAGUUUUAGGUAGUAUUUAUUUUUUACUUCUUUUAACUUUAUUUUCAUUGUAAUUAAGCAUUGUUAAAAACAUAAGCUACUCAGUACAAAGAACUCUAUCUAUCUACAAGUACACAGAAACUUGCUUAUAUUUAAACAGCAACAUUUACCCAAUGGAUCAGAAAGUGUCUCUCACAUAAAACAACACCACAUGUAGGUAUAUGUUUACAAACACCUGUUUUAAUAGCAAUAUGUAUGUAUAAUGUGUUCCAUCACUUUGAUUCCAAAAUGAUGUAAAGGAUAGAUGUUUGUUGGCUUUAAUGUUAUCAAAUAUAAGCUAUCUCAUAUGCCGGAUUUUUUAUGUCAUCGUAUUUAUGAAUCACACUAUAUAUUAACUUCUGUUUCAUAGUCAGAAGAUACCAAAGCUAGACUUAAAGUGCAACUGUGUUUAUUUUCCACAUAAACAUAUAAAUAUAUAUAUAUAUAUAUGUUACUAAUCAUCAUGCAUUCUAUGAACCCUCUGUAUGUAAUGUUUGAUAUGUGAACUAUCUGUUCUGAUUGCAUCAUUGAUAAAGCUUUUCUCUUACUCUAUAAAGGUAAGUAGAGAUAUAAGUGAGUAACUUUGUUCAUAUAAAUUACUUUAUGCUGUAUAUGAAGAGAUGGAUGCCACUUUUUCUGCAUUUCUAUCUUAGCUGUCACAGGAUGAUAUUGUUUGAGGGCUGUAUAAAAUGAUUUGGAAAAUCAGAUCUUACUAAGCUUAAAAUAAAGGGAGAGAUCUACAACAAAGAGCGAGAAAAUGAUGUGUGUUGCAUACAAAAAAAGCAGUGAUAUUAACAAUUCUAUGGCUUCCUGGUUGGGAGACCAGUCUGAGCCAGACGCAUAUAUUAAAGGCUGUCUGCCGCCGAUGUGAGCUUGCUCAAUGCGGUGGAAAUGAGGAAUCACCUCCUCUCUGACACCAGCUUAUUUUUACAUUUUAAUUUUGAAAUAGCAAAUCACUGUUUUACGUAAACAUACUAACCCCUGCUUGAUUCUUUGCCUUUUUUCACAUUGUUUGCUGAUUUACUGUCAACUUCCAGCUCUGGUUUUUUUUUUUAAUUAUCAUUCUCUCACCUUAAACAUCUAUCAAAUACCAAAGACAUAUUAGUUUUUCUUUUGUCUCUUUUACAUUGCUAUGUUAAUAUUGUGAUACCCAUGCUUUAAACUUUUAAUCUCUGUAAGGAAAACAGCAGUUUUUCAAAAUUGGCAUUUUUUAAAGCCUUUUAGGAUCCAUCAAGGAAGCCACUUCUGGAAUUUUGCCAAAUCUAAAUAUGAUUAUAUUUCAUUUCUGGGUUCAUGGGGUCAAUAUCUUUCUGAGUAUAAAAGUCCUUAACACUUUAGUAUGCCAGUAAAGCUUCAGUAGAAGUGCAGAGAUUAAGCUACAUUAAUAAUGUCUAGAAGAGGUAUAGGUGUCUCAGGGGAAUUAUAAUACAGGUUAAUUACUAAUGAAAUUACAAGUGGUAUAUACUGCCUUAAAUUCCUUAAACUCAAAUGGACAUGCUAGUACAUGUGCCCAGACUUAGUCUAAUUCACCUGAUGAAUAUUUAAAAGGUUUUGCAAGUUGUUAUGUUUGGAUGAGUUUCUAGAAAAGCAGUACGUAAAGGGUUAACUAAUGCCCAAAUACUCUUGCCAUUUACACAUGCAAUGCAGCCUACAUUUCGGUAGGCAGCGAGUGCAGGCAUCAUUUUGAUUACUUAGAUUUUUUGUUUAAUUUCUUACUAGACAUUUAACGUAGCACUGAAACCCCACUGAUCCAUCCCUUAGUGGCUGUAUUUAGAAAAGGAAAACAAAGUUCCUAAUAUAGAGAAGUUUUCAAAAAUCCUGGGCAUUUGUAAGCUUUUGAAAAAUAGGCUUUUUACUGCAACUCUGCAAAUACAUAGUAUGUGGAAACUUAGGUGCUAACAUUAUCUGUCGUCUCCAUAUUUAGUUUUUUAUCCCUCAGUGACCAACUACACUCUGAGAUAUUAUAUGCAUGUAUAUUAAUACACAUUAGCAUAUGUACUUAAUACAUACUUUAAUGUAUAAAUUAAUAUGUGUUAAUAUACAUAUUUAUAUAUUCAAAGAUAUCUUAAUUUUUUAAAUCUUUGAUAAAAAUAGUAUGAAAAUUGAAAAUUUUUCAUAGAAUUAUCCACAAUAUUUCUUCAAUGUGUUAGCUUUGAUUUUCAUUGAAUGUUGCUUUUUUCCCAGCUUUAUCAGGUAGAGUGCAUUCAUUACUAGCCAAUAAUAUUAAGUUGUAUGUAAUGUCUUACUUGUAGCAGUUUGGAAGCAGGUGGAACUUGAAGGUAAUUGAGAUUAAGUGAAUUUAAGAUGAAAUAGUUUUAUAUAGUCAGCUAAUGCAUACAUAUUUUAUAAAGAAUUUCAAAGUGAAAAAUUAUCAUAUGGUGAAAUAAGUUUUUCAUUGUAUCUGAUGUUAGAAAUAUGGUUUUAAGUGUUACCUUAAUAAUUAUUCCUAAACAAAACUAGAGUGAAAAAUAAUCAUGGACUAUAUCUGUUAGGUCAGCUAAAUGAGAAUAAUAAUUCCUAGAUUUCAUCUUGGCCUUUUGGGUUUCUGGGGCAUUUUAGGUCUUUGAUGCAAAGUGGACUUAACCAUUUCACUUUUCUAAGAAGUUUCUUCCUCUCUCCUGGUAGGUGUCUGACGAUUUGUGAACCCCAGAUGACUAUUCUGUGGAGUCAUCUUUCCUUGCCUUUGAAUUAGCUUUCCCUAGGCCAUGAGUCAACAUCAAUAUUUUAUACAUCCAAAUUGGAUUACAGGUUGUAAAGAGGAUGAAAACUUGGUCUCACUAGUGACACAUAUUUGUCACCGCUGAGGAAAGAUUUUGCUUGAGAAUGAAGCCCAUGUGAGUUUCCAAUUCAUAAAUACAACUUAUCAACUUAAAAAUAAACUAUUAAUUUGUUAAUUCAUCCAUUCACUCAUAAAUGUAAAUUUAACAUAAAAUAACUCAAUGAAUUAAGGCUGAAUCAUCGUGACCAAUAAAGAUGUGACCAUUUAACAAAAUUUGAUUGACUUUAAAAUAAAAUGUCAGAUAUGUGAUUAGUAGGUAUAGAUACUAAGCAUUUAAUAAUAAAAAGUAGUUGUCUUCAAUACAUUAGAUGAAGCUUGAUUCAUAAUUUACCAAGCAACUGAACUCAUUUACAGUUAUGUUUUAAUGACAUUUUAAUAUCAAGGACUUCAGAGGACUUCAGGAUUGAUCAACAAAAUAAUUCAAGUAAAUUCCUUAGCUCAGUGCCUAGCACCAAGAAAUUGCUUCUGCUAAACAGACUAUUUUUUUUCAUCACCCAAAUUUACCAGAUGUACAAUGUUCCAAAGGAUGAGAUUCAGACACCAAUAGGGAAUCAUUUCAGCUCCAGGGCACUCACAAAUCAUUUAUCAUAAAUAUCUUUAUCAAGGGUUUUCUGAGUGUCAGUUGUAGGAAAGGAAAAGAGGAAUUCUGCUCUUAAAUAGAUUAUCAUCUACAAAAGCUGUCUUUCACUUUUCUCACACUUUUGUGUCCUUUAUGUGUGCCUUAGCCUUUCAUAAAUUCUGUACUUUGGAGGCUUUAUUCUUUUUCAGAUUUUAUGGAUUAACAUUUUAUGAGGCUUGUCCUAUUUUCUAGGUGUAUAUGAGAUAACCUGUCUGUAUAUUUGGACAAGAUGUGGGAUAUUGCUUGGAUUUCCACUGCCUAGAGUCUGGUCAUGUUAUCCCCUAUACUCUGCAAAGUUCUGGUGAUUAAGAACCAUAGUUAGACCAUGACAAUGUUAAUAACUGUGGUUUAUAAAGAUGGCACUUCCAGAAUAAUUGGACCAAAAUGAAGUAUUUACGUAUGUUGUCAGUACAUGUAAAAAAAAAAAAAAAAAGCUGUCAUUUAAUUUCUUUUAAGAAAGAACUAAAUUGGAUAUAAUGAUAUUGAUCAGGCAGAGUUUCAUAAAACAGCAAUUACAUUAAUUAGUCAAAAGAUCAAAACAUUUUAAUUGGGCUAUUCUCUGGGAGUUAACAAAAUAUGCAGAAUAAACUUGGAGUUUUAGACUUUUGCAUCAUAAAAGUCACCACUGAACUAGAAUAGUGAAGCAGAAAUAGAAAGCCAGAAUAUUAGUACAACUUUUACCGCUAGUUAUGGAACUGAACUUCUCUCCUCUUCACUUUUUAAAUUUAUGAUUGAUUUACAAAAUAAUGAUUUUCAGGUUAAAAUUGCUGUAUCAUUAGAUGGUUACAUAUCUUUUCCAACCCACAGAAGACUUUUCGAGUCAUGUUAGCAAGGACUAGCAUUAGCUUGUACUGUGUGCUAAGUCACUUCAGUUAUGUCCGACUCUUUGCCACCCUAUUGAC